UACGUAGGGUGCAAGCGUUAUCCGGAAUCACUGGGCGUAAAGGGUGCGUAGGCGGUUUGACAAGUCAGAAGUGAAAGGCAAUGGCUCAACCAUUGUAAGCUUUUGAAACUGUCAGACUUGAAUGCAGGAGAGGUAAGUGGAAUUCCUAGUGUAGCGGUGAAAUGCGUAGAUAUUAGGAGGAACACCAGUGGCGAAGGCGACUUACUGGACUGUUAUUGACGCUGAGGCACGAAAGCGUGGGGAGCGAACAGG
rnacentral:rRNA from 1 species